AAACUUUCAACAACGGAUCUCUUGGCUCUAGCAUCGAUGAAGAACGCAACGAAAUGCGAUACGUAAUGUGAAUUGCAGAAUUCAUUGAAUCAUCGAAUCUUUGAACGCACAUUGCGCCUGGCAGUAUUCUGCCAGGCAUGCCUGUCCGAGCGUCAUUU
rnacentral:rRNA from 1 species